rnacentral:rRNA from 1 species
UCUAAUACCUUAUAGUAUCCAUCUCGUAUGGAUUAAAGCUUUAUGCGCUUUGGAGGGGCCUGCGUUUGAUUAGCUAGUUGGUGAGGUAAAAGCUCACCAAGGCGACGAUCAAUAGCUGGUUUGAGAGGAUGACCAGCCACACUGGGACUGAGAUACGGCCCAGACUCCUACGGGAGGCAGCAGUAAGGAAUCUUCCACAAUGGGGCAACCUGAUGGAGCAAUACCGCGUGCAGGAUGAAGCGUUUCGGCGUGUAAACUGCUUUUAUCACCGAAGAUUAUGACUGUAGGUGAAGAAUAAGGACCGGCUAACUACGUG